UACAGAGGGUGCAAGCGUUGUUCGGAAUUAUUGGGCGUAAAGCGUGCGCAGGCGGUUCGCUGUGUCCGAUGUGAAAGCCCCGGGCUUAACCUGGGAAUGGCAUUGGAAACUGGCGGGCUUGAGUGUGGCAGAGGGGGGUGGAAUUCCGCGUGUAGCAGUGAAAUGCGUAGAGAUGCGGAGGAACACCGAUGGCGAAGGCAGCCCCCUGGGCUAACACUGACGCCUCAGGCACGAAAGCGUGGGGAGCAAACAGG
rnacentral:rRNA from 1 species